GUGCCAGCAGCCGCGGUAAUACGUAGGUGGCAAGCGUUGUCCGGAUUUAUUGGGUUUAAAGGGUGCGUAGGUGGCCCUGUAAGUCAGUGGUGAAAUAUCUCAGCUUAACUGAGAGGGUGCCAUUGAUACUGCAGGGCUUGAGUACAGAUGAGGUAGGCGGAAUUGACGGUGUAGCGGUGAAAUGCAUAGAUAUCGUCAAGAACACCGAUAGCGAAGGCAGCUUACCAAGCUGUAACUGACACUGAGGCACGAAAGUGUGGGGAUCAAACAGGAUUAGAUACCCUGGUAGUCC
rnacentral:rRNA from 1 species